UAAGCCUGGAUCUAAGGGCGCGCGUGCCGUACUUCUCUCCCGACUGGCGCGGGGUGACGCCGGCUGCGAAGCGUACACAGGGGGUGUGCGGGUUGUGUGAUAGAUCCUCGAAGAAGCCAUUUUGUGGCGCCGACGCCAUUGGGAGAGCGGCAGGCAACAGCGCGGGCACGGUAGGGCUUGAUGUCCGUGACUCGCCGGGGUCGAAGAGCA
rfam:Thioalkalivibrio nitratireducens DSM 14787, complete genome.